GCCCUGCUGGAUGGAGCUGAAAAGGAGCAGGCAUGCAAAUCAGCCCAGGGAUAAUUGACAGGAUGGCUGGGAUGUACACAGGCCCUUAUCUGAAUGUUAGGAGACGAGGCUUUGGAUCAACUUCUCUCCAGUUUCUCGACUUGAUCCUCUUGGUCACAAAGCAGCUGAUACAGUGCCAUACAUCGCAACCUCACAGAACAACAUCUGGCAACCUUUUGAUCCUAAUCAAUCCAUGCUUUGGUCAGAAGUCAUUUUAGAGGAAGAAGUGAGUAUACAGAAAUCCAG